rnacentral:lncRNA from 1 species
UCUAAAGUAUUUAUAUAUAUAUAUAUAUAUAUAUAGAGUUGAGCUAGAAUACUAUCGGUAGUAAAUGAGCCGUUUUACUACCGAUUUGUUUUCGAUGAUAGAGUUUCCAAAUUGACGAUCAGCUCCGUUAAAUAUGAUCUAAACCAUUUAAACUACCUAGAAAUCAAAUUUCACGCACUUUCGAUAUUGUUCUUUUAUCCAUCAAGUGAACAGAAAAAUGAAUGGCUGAAAAUGAAUACUCUUUAAAAAAUGAUGAUAGGAGUCUUGUAAUCAAGAACAAGAGUAUAGAUCUUNGAAAAUUGAUUUCUAAACACUUCAAGCGGUAUAGAUCAUGUUCAACGGAGCCGAUCGUCAAUUUGGAAGUUCUAUCAUCGAAAACAAAUCGGUAGUAAAACGGCUCGUUUACUACCGAUAGUAUUCUAGCUCAACUCUAUAUAUAUAUAUAUAUAUACACACACAAAAAAAAAGAAAGAAGGGUAGGUUAGAUUUGGUCCAAUUGUUCAAGGCCUAUGUGUAGGCAAAGUCAUAAGGCUAUAUAGAGAAUAAUAGUAGGUAAAGCCACAAGGGCCAAGAAAGGGUCACAUUCAUUCUUAAUUGGAAAUGCGUGUGGAGAGAAAAAUGGUUGGGUAUUGACAAAAACUGGGCUCAUAUGUUCUAAAUGUAGGGCCAUUCAGGAAAAGGUUAGAUCCUAUUGGUAGAUUUUUUUUUUUUCUUUCUAUCUUUUUAAUUGUAUGCUGAGGCUUAAAGGGCAGUAGUCAAUUGUACCUAACCAAACUUGGAGGCUUGUGAAGGGUGUUUCCACUGGAUGCUUUCUUUGAUUGCAAUGUGUACUUAUAGAAGAAAAUAUACAGUGUUUAAGGAAGAGAAAAGGAUGAGUACACCAUUUCAGAGAGAACAUUGAUCCAUAUUAUAAGAAUAUUUUCUAUGUGACCAAUUCCCUCCCUAGCUAGUAUGAUAUAUGAGCUCACCCUUUCAGUUUGUGGAGAUAAUUGUUAUAAAUUUUUAUAAGUGAUACCUAAUGAGUUGAAUCUUCAUCUAUGACCCGUUUUAUCGGUGCCGCCUAUUUAUUUUCUUCUUGGUGCUAAUUAUCCAAUUACAAUGUGUUCUUAGGAGAAAAUGUGAAAUAUUUAGCUUUUAACAAGUGGAAAGAAAAGGCACCAGUUCAAAGAGAACAUGAGCAAUGUGAUAUUAAGAUGACUAAAUUACAGAAAACCUCUUCUGGCAAUAUUCGCUUUUUUACUUUUUCUCCCUAUCAUUCAAAAAAUCUACACUUUACCUCCUUAUAAAAUAAAAAAUGUUCACUUUGGCCCCCGCUGUCAAUGUUCCGUUAGGGUUUCGUUUAUAUCCUAUUUUUUAUAUCCAAAAUACCCCUGAAACUCUCAUCCUUCCUAACCGACCUCGGCCGCGCCGCCUCGCCCUCGCCCACUUCUCUGUUCAUGCCCACACAUACACCCUCGCCGCCUCCGCCACCUCACCCUCGCCCUCGCCCACCACUCCGUCCACGCCCACCCCGAAGAAGACGAGGGCAAUUUUGUCAUUUUAGCAGUGUACCCCUUGUAAAUAUUUCAUUUUAUAAGGAAACAAAAUGUAUGUUUUUGAAGAAUAGGGAAGGAAAGUAAAAAAACAAGUAUUGAUAGAGAGAUUUUCUGUAAUUUAGCCUAUUAAGAAAUGUUAUAUAUAUCAACUUUACAGUGACACAAUAUUAGAGCUGGUCCUUUGCCCUCUCAGCUCUUUGCGCUUAUUUAGAUGCAUGAAUAUCUUAUUCAACAUAUUUCUUUUAUUUAUAUAAAAAAAGUUUGUAGUGAUAUACAUCUAGGAGUAUGAUCAGCAUGUGUAGAAAGCUAUAUAU